UCCAAAUGACGAUGCACAGCACUGGGCACUGAUUCGGCUCAUAAAAAUGAGUUCGAUUAUGAGUGAUACUGCUUUAAAGUGGGCUUAGAAACCCCACGCUACUGAUUCG
rnacentral:snoRNA from 1 species